GUCCACGCCGUAAACGAUGGGCACUAGGUGCUUGGGGGAGCGACCCCCCGGGUGCCGGCGCUAACGCAUUAAGUGCCCCGCCUGGGGAGUACGGCCGCAAGGCUGAAACUCAAAGGAAUUGACGGGGGCCCGCACAAGCGGUGGAGCAUGUGGUUUAAUUCGACGCAACGCGAAGAACCUUACCUGGGCUUGACAUGCGCGGGAAAGCCCCCCAGAAAGGGGGGGCCCCUCUUCGGAGUCCGCGCACAGGUGCUGCAUGGCUGUCGU
rnacentral:rRNA from 1 species